UACAGAGGGUGCGAGCGUUAAUCGGAAUUACUGGGCUUAAAGCGUGCGCAGGCGGUUUUGUAAGCCAGAUGUGAAAGCCCCGGGCUUAACCUGGGAAUGGCAUUUGGGACUGCAAGGCUUGAGUGCGGCAGAGGAGACUGGAAUUCCUGGUGUAGCAGUGAAAUGCGUAGAUAUCAGGAGGAAUACCGAUGGCGAAGGCAGGUCUCUGGGCUGACACUGACGCUCAUGCACGAAAGCGUGGGGAGCAAACAGG
rnacentral:rRNA from 1 species